rnacentral:lncRNA from 1 species
UGACGCCUUGAAGAUGCCAAGGGGUUACCCAAUUCAUGCAAUUCGAUAGAAAAGGCAAUCUUAAACAACAUAUUGCCUAUUUCAUUGAAACCUGCAACAAUGCUGGGACGGAAUGAGACUACCUCGUCAAGUAGUUCAUGCGCUCACUGAAGGAAGAUUUUUGUGAAAACAUGUUCAUUUAAGCAACAUCUAUAGCAUGCUAUUAACAAUUAAAAGGCGGAAUCAUGCUUGCAUGCACUUAAAAACAAAACAUUAACCAUGAAAUUCAAAGCCUAGUAGAUUGGUGAACCAAUACUCAACUCAAAACAAAGUGAGUUGAAAUUUAUACCUUUGUAGAUUCCUCUUUGCAUAAGCAAAGGCUAAUCACCCAAAGAGAGGGCCUUCAUUCCUUGCUUCUUAAAUCUAUGGAUUUGGAUGGAAGAAUAGGUUUCUCAAAGUUCCCAAAAUAGAGAACCUCUAAGUAUCUUCACCAAGGUUAGAUUGGAGAAGAAAUGAGUGACCUUGGAGGAGUAGUAUUGCUAGCUAAUCCCUCCAAGGGGGCCGGUCUCUUUAGAGAGAAAGGGAGAGACAUGUUCUCUCCAAUUUUCUCCAAAAGAACCCCUUUUUUGAAUUUAGGCUAUAAAGUCCUUUAUAUAGUCCCUUCAAAUAAGUGACCUAAAGAACCAAAAAGCCAUUCUCUCUAACAUGGCCGGCCAUAAGGGUUUUAUUGGGCUUUUGGGCUUUUGUGAAUUAAGUUGUCAUACAACUUAAGUUAAUGGGCUUGACGUUCGAAGUCCAUUGGGCCUUGAGGCCCAAAACUAACCCUUGGUCUUUUAACGAACUUUAUUCGUUUGAUUAAUUAACAUAUUAAUUAAUCCUUGCCAUAAAUUAUUAAAUAAUUAAACCAUUUAAUUAUCCUUACUCAUCUCCGUUGUUUCUUCAAUCUUUACCUUACAUGGUGUACGAUCCAUUAGGUUCCUUUUAGCGAGGUAGUGGGCGAUUAGAACUCUUUCAAACCGAUUGUGAAUUGAAACUUACUUUCAAUUCUCCCUUUAGUGAUUAUACACGUUUAGGGCUUCCACAAACCAUGAGUGACACCUAGCAGCAUAUCAUGGUUACCCAAGCUAAUCAGAAGAGGUGGAGAACCUAUUCUGUUUAGGAUUACAAAUGCAAUACGGUCUUUCUCUAAUACAAUACUCUUGACCACAUUGUUUAGUUUGAUAGUUUAUUCAUGUCUACUAUCCAAUGUGAUUCGUUUACUUAUAUGAUUACCUUGAAUGUGAUUUGGAACGCCUUCCUAAAUCUCAUUCAUACUCUGAUCAGAGAUUUUCAAUCAUAUCAUAGAGUAUUCUCCCCCAAAUGGUUUGAAGGUUAGAGAUCCCUUGUUGCGCAUUCAAUUGCCUCCAUGGCUAAGUGGCUUAACCCCAACGAUGCCGUGGACACCCGCGGAUGGGGUGACUUUGACAUAAUCAAAGAUCAAGAACUUAACCACAAGACAACUGUGAUGCCUCAGGUCAUAGGACUACUUUGCAUUAUCCCAACCAUGAGUUCUCAUGUGACAUGAAUAUGAGAACUCUUCGUUGAUCGUGUUCAGUGAACUCAUUCUCUAUUGAGCACCUACGUACUUGUCUUGAUGUCACACACACCAAUGACUCGAGACUAGUCACUCUCCCUGAGAGAAGACAUAGCAUGUACUGAUCUUAACGGACUGUCAAUGCCCAAUUGGCAAUCCUAUGAUCAGGAACGUUUAGGAUGUGUCUACGAAAGAAUGGUCUCAUGAAUCUAACUUCUUUAGAUUGCAUUCUCCCAAUCACAUAUUCCUUGGACUUAUCGUUUAAGCAUAUAACAUUUAUAUGAGACGGCUCAAACAAUAAUCUUUGCCCUUUAUAUUUAAACUACAUUAGUUUAACUUUGUGAAAUGUCCGUAAAGUAUCAUCAUAUGAUUGGUUUUAGGGCACAUUUCCAACAAUCUCCCACUUGCACUAGAGCCAAUCAGCUUGGUCAUCAGUGAUGAUACCUCUUCUGUAGUCAUUUCAUAAAUGGCUGAGUAGUAGGCCUAGACAAUGGAUAUCUAUAUGUUAUCCAUAGAAGCAACCUUGAGAAUAACGACGUCACCAUUAUACAUGAUUCUCAAUCAUGUGGUUCAGUCUCUCAUAUGAGUUCGGAUCUUGAUGAGACCUUGAUUCCCUGGCUUGAGCUAUCGCCCCAUUAGUGUCAUAGUGUCGAUACACUAGAUACACUUUCUGGUUGGAACCGAAUAGAGAGUUCAUAAAUGAACUUUCCCAUCCAAACAACAUUGUUGUAAGCUUCUAUAUGGCAAUAUAUUUUGCAUUCAUAAUGGAACACACUAAAGUCAUUACUUUAAUGUUUCCAUCCAAAUAUCUCUUUAGUCAUAAUAAAGAGAUAUCUGAUUAUUUCUUCAUUCAUAAUGAAGAAACAUCCAAUGAUGGAUUAGAUUCUUAAUCUAAUACAUUUACGCUUCCAUUACGUUACUCUAAUUCUUCCUCAUUCUUUGAGGAAUCUAUCCUUUAGUAUUUCUUAAAUACUUAAGGACUUACUUGACAGUUGCCAUGGUUCUGAUCCUGGGCUUGCACUGAUAUCGUCUUGUACCAUUCUAGGUACAACUCAUAUCAAUGUUUUUCAUACAAUAUGAAAUACAUAAAUCACCUUUAUGCGUAUGCAUAAAGGAUUCUAUUUACGCAUUAUUUCUUUGGGAGUCAAAGAGUACGUUCUCUUUGAGAAGAGCAACUUCUUAGUCUCACUAGAGUUGUCCUUCUAAUUGAAGUUUAUCAUCAUAUGAGAAACUUCCUAGCAUCUAUUGUCUAUUAUUAGGGAUUGAUAUAAUCCAAUUAUAUCAUGAAAUAUAUCAUUAUAGAUUUCCAUCCCAUGUAUAUAGACUAUAUCUCCCAUAUACAUUCUAUCUUCAUAUAAUGUUUUAAAGUCAUAACUUUAACGAAGAAGAAUUCUUUUCAUUUCCAAAAUUAAUAUAUCAAAUAUAUAUUUUAAAUUUUAGGAACAUGAUUAACUCCCACUAAUCUUUUGUAAACCUAGUAAACAAAAGAUUCAUUUACAUCUUUAUGAGAAAUCAAACGAUUUGAUCUUUCUCUCAUAAGACGCUUAUAGCUCCCACUAGCUUGCUAAGAUUCAUGAUGGAUGGAUCUCUACAACUUACAUGUCUUGUGAUUUAUAGUUUUAGACAUAUAUUAUCAAGACUAUCUUAAUAAUGGUUUCGGAAACCCAUAUAAUGUCCAAACAUUGAAUCACCAUUUAGUUGUAGCUAGCAAUCUUCGAAUUAAUUGAAACCAAGACUAUCUCAAAGAUGGUUUCUUCAAAGUCAACCAUUCUCUUUGAUUGUAGUCACCUUAAACUAUCAAUUAGCUUAUGAAGGUUUUAUUAUUUCGGGUCAAAUGGUACUUUACCAUUUCCUUGAGUAUAUAUCAUAUAUACACUCAAUGUAGUCAUAAGGAUUUUCAUUCUUAUUUCUUUCGAAUUAAGAGGUGCAACUCUAUGACAUAGUCAUAAAGUUCAAACCAUUCAACUGAGACGGUUUAUAAAUCCUUCUCGACUACCUUGGAGCUUUUGGUAUAGGAACUAGGUUGUUAUAUUUGUUGAUUACUUUCUUGUCUCUCAAAGAACCCAUUCUUUGAGUUCUAUCUCUCGUUCAUUUGCUCUUUAGGCAAAUCACAUUGUAGGAUUACAAUGAACUACCCAACAAAACAACAUUUGUUAGUUGGUUUAUAGAAGUGAUAUCCAAAAGUUAAUUUAAGGAUAUCCCACAAGAUUGUUAUCAAACAAAUAUUGCUUAUUAGCACACAACCCCAAAUCUUAACAUGCUUAAGAUUUGUCUUUCUUUCCAACUACAUCUUAUGGAGUCAUGAAAAUUUUGGAAGAUCUUCUAAUUGACAAUCAUAUUGUUUUAGAAGUAUAUAUAUCCUAUAUAUGGGUAAUAGAUAACAUCCAACGAACUAAAUCUUAUUCAAGUUCGUUCUUCUCCUAAUGGAGAAAUUCAUUAUCUUAUGAUGCUUCUUUCCUUGAUAUCUUUCAAGGAAACUCAUCUAAAGUGUUACUUUUCCUUGGAUCAAAUCUAAGGAGGUAAAUACUUUAGACGUCUUACUCAUCAACUUACAUUUCUUGAAUUCUUUGAAACAUUUUGCAAAGUAUUCGGACUUGUGUUUAUUCAAAAUAAACUAUAGUCCAACCGAGAGUGAUCUUCGGUGAAUGUCAUACAACAUGAGUAGUAUUAUGUUGUGGACAAGUGCCACUAACAUCUAAGUGAAUUAACCUCAACAACUUUGUGAUUCUUUCUUCUUUCCAAAAGAAUAAAGAUUCGAACAUUUCGCCUCUAUACAAUUUUAACAAGAAGGUAUUGGAUCCGGAUCUAACGAUCCAAAGCAUCCAUCUAUGACCAACUCGUAAUUUAUGUUUUUAGAGGUAUCACAACUUAGUUGGGAUUAGUCACUACCUUGCAACCUUUUGGGUUUUAAGCAUCAUUAUAUUCUAAACAGUUAACACUACCAUAUAUCAUCUCUACUAUAGAGACAAUCAAUUAGAUUACUAUAAUCCAAUCAUUGAUUAAUAAAGAACAAUGUUUUGUCAAACAAAACAUUCAUCCAUCUCUACUAUAGUGACGGAAUUAAGUUCCUUAAAAAUUGGAAUGUAAAGACAAUCUUUGGUUUUUCCAAUUUCUUUGGUAGUUCAUAUGAGGAAGUAAGUACUAUCUGCUUUCGCAGAGAUCUAUAUUUUAUUCACGUUCCGAAUGUGAAGCACCUUUUCUUCUCUCAUAUAUCUUCUACUUCUUAUUAGUCACACUUUUACAACGAUUGUAAAACAUAGUUACUAAUACGGAAUCAAGCAUUCAAGUAGAAGAACCAACUGUUUUGAACUAUUCAAGAACAAUUUACAACACCUUCGAAAGGUGUGUUCUUGACACUUGCAAGACAUUUCUUGCAAAUACCCCUUCCAAUGUCCAUCCUUUCAUAAAGAAAGUUUGUUCCCUUGGAGUUAAUUUUAUCUUCUUCAUUUGACUUCUCCUUUGACUACAAUAGUCAUGGUCCCUAAACUCCCACUAUCUCUCUUGAAACUUAUUUCAAUUGUGUUAUACACAUCAAACGAUUUGGAGAGUGUGUGGUUAUUGUUCACUAUAUAGUUUACAAUAAACUUAGUGAACCAUUAGGAUAGGGACAUAAAGGUGAAGUCCUAGCCUAUUUUUCCGUCUCUAGAAGUGGUUUAACACUUCAACACUCAAUGAUUCAAAAUCAUCAUAAGUCCAUGUUGAUGGACUAUUUUUGUCAACCAACCAUUAUGUUCUAAACAUAAUUACAAACUUUCAAGAGUUGUUCAAGGCAACUCUCAUUUCUUCAUACAACAAUUUGUAAGUGAAGAAUCAUGGCACAUAAAGUGUCCAUGCCAUUGUGCUUUCUUCUCAAGUUCUUUGUUCAUUUAACAAAGAAACAAGCACUAAGUGUUUGCAUUGACUAAGGGUUGUUCAAAGCAACUCUUAUUUCUUCAUACAACAAUUUGUAAUUGAAGAAUUAUGACAUUAAAAGUGUUGUCCUCUUUAUGAUAGACUUUUCUAACAUAUUCUUCUAAUGAUACAUUAUCAAUAGGAAGAUUGUGAGGAUGAGACUACUUAGGUACAUUUACAAGCCAUUAAAGACAAUCUAUGGUUUUGUAGUACCAAGUCCGGAAACUAAAGCUUUCGGCUUUUAUUUGUCAAGUGUUGGAUAGCGUUUGCAAAUAUAUUGGUAAAUAAAUACAUAACGAAUAUAAAUUGAUUGAUUUUAAGCCAUUUGAUCCGGGUCUUUAAAUCAAAUAGCACCACCCACUAUUUUUGGCAAAUUCCAUAUCCCUCAUUGGAAUUCGAGAGUUUUGGAGGAAACUCUUAGUAGGGUAUGGGAGACUCACUACUACCAAGCCCACCUCACAAUGAUAUGAUGUUGGCUAGCAUUAAUAAUAAUGAGAGAGUACGCUUACUCAUUUGCAUCUCUUGCAAGUACCCAUCUAUUUGGCCUCUAGAAAACAAUGCCUCACGAAUGAUAUGAUGUUGGCAUCAUUUCACUUAGUUAAGUCUUUCCCACCAUGCCGGUUUAGAUAGGGGUUCAAGUAUGACCUAACGAUGAUACGAUGUUGGCCACACUCGUUGCCUACCUUAACCUCAUCAAAUGUUUAAAAUAAACUCCUCCUGAGUAUAAGCAUGCACUUUGCACUCCCCCAUGAUAGGGUGAAGGCGGUGUACAAGUCAUAAACGAUUGGAGCCUACCACGGUGGAAGGCCACGAAAGAGUGUUCAAAGCACUCUCACGCUUAUCAACUUAAUAAUGGUUUGGUUUGAGGGUUUUAGGUCUCAUCACAUAUAAAUAUUCAUUUUAAUCUUUAUUAAAACAAUUUUGGUCCUAUUACAACUAUUGGUCCAUUUGAUUGUUUUUAGUUGUAUAUAAUACUCCCACUAUGUUUAUAAAACGGUUUUUAAAGCAAGAGUAUAUGAUACUACUAACAUAACCUUUUGCAUUCAUUUGAUGGACUAUAUAGUUGCCUUAGGGCCUUAGGAUGACUAUGAACCUUUGAUUAGAUUCAACACGAGCCUUGUGUUGAAUCUCGGUCUAGGGAUGGUGAUUGAUUUUAGUUACGCGUUUAAUCACAUUAAGGCGUGUUGUCUUAGGGGCGUUGGACCCAACUACUUCAUUUUCAUGCAUAUCAAAUAAAGCAAGAAAGAAGUACUUCAAAGUAAAGGUGAGUUUAUGCUCAUUACAACAUUUGCAUAAUUCAAAUUACUUUAAAGUAAAGAAGAGCUUAUGCUCUUUUACAACAUUUGAUCAAAUCAAAUUAAAACCAAAAUCUAAUUAAUCUACACAUUCCCAUGGUUCAAACAAAUUUGAAACGGCCUUUCACAUAGCUCAAUUAUCGUAGGCUUAGGUUCAUAAUCAAUUUCCCUUUAAUUAAUUAACUUUAACUAAUUAAAUUGAAUGCAACAUUUUCAUUUGGGUUUUUGUAUCCAUAAAAUUGAUUUAAAUGGAGCUAAAUGAAAUGAAAAUCCAAUUCUCAUUUAAAGAGACAAAACCAUUUUUGUUCUCAUCUACCUAAUUUGGGCCAAUAUGCAAUUACCACAACCUUUGGGCUAUAUUGCAAAAACAUAAACUUUUGGGGUCACUUUGUAAAAAAAACAAAAAGUCCACUACUUCAUGUAAUUACAACUAGAACCCAAAAUUUAAACAAUGCAAAAACUUCAUUAAAGGAGCAAAACAAUUUGUCCUUUAGCGUUUUUGGACCUAAACGUAAAAACGUAAACUUUUGGGCCAAAGUGUAAAUACACAAAAGUAUCAAAACUUUAUGUAAUUGCAUAAAAGCCCCAAAAGUACUCCCAUUGAGGGAGUGGCCGGUUUUGGAGAGGGAAAGGAGUGAUGUGUGUGUUGAUUUGUGAGUUUUGACAUAAAGCAAGCAAGUGGUGCAAGUGGUGUGUGUGAAAGGGAAUUAAUCCUUUCACACCCACCAUUAUUUCUACCACCAUUUAAACAAAUAUCUAACACAUUAAAUCAUUUGAAAAACAUAAAACAUAAAAUUUAUGAAAUAAAUCAAAACUUUGAAUCAAAACACCAAACUUUUUGUUUUUGGCAAAAAUGUCAAGAACAAUGAAGAACACUCAUGAAAAACGCAAAAAAUUUCCAUGAACAUUUUUCACCCAAAAAAACAUCCCAAAACCAUUUAAACUUUAGGGAAAUAACAUAUAACCAAACUAGGGUACAUAGGGGUUCCAAAAAACACUUUAAAACACUUUUAACAAGUCAAGCAAGAACCCAAAAAUCCACCCUUUGGAUUUGGCCGAAUUUUCCCAAAAGCAUGGCACCAAAUUUUAGCUCCAAUAUUCAUGCUCAUAUGAACUACAUCUACAACAUUUGAGAUGGAAAAUUUUCUAACAAAAUUUACAUUCAAAGAAACAAGAAUAAAGCUUGUAACAUAUUACAACUUUUAAAUCACAAACUAUGAACUACAAAACCCAAAAGGAUUCACCAACUACUAGACCUAGGCUCUGAUACCACUUGAAGGAAGAUUUUUGUGAAAACAUGUUGAUUUAAGCAACAUCUAUAGCAUGCUAUUAACAAUUAAAAGGCGGAAUCAUGCUUGCAUGCACUUAAAAAUAAAACAUUAACCAUGAAAUUCAAAGAUUAGUAGAUUGGUGAACCAAUACUCAACUCAAAACAAAGUGAGUUGAAAUUUAUACCUUUGUAGAUUCCUCUUUGCAUAAGCAAAGGCUAAUCACCCAAAGAGAGGGCCUUCAUUCCUUGCUUCUUAAAUCUAUGGAUUUGGAUGGAAGAAUAGGUUUCUCCAAGUUCCCAAAAUAGAGAACCUCUAAGUAUCUUCACCAAGGUUAGAUUGGAGAAGAAAUGAGUGACCUUGGAGGAGUAGUAUUGCUAGCUAAUCCCUCCAAGGGGGCCGGCCUCUUUAGAGAGAAAGGGAGAGACAUGUUCUCUCCAAUUUUCUCCAAAAGAAACCCC